AGCAGAUUUGACAACACAGAAGAGCAAAUCAGCAAUAUAGAAGACAAACAUAAGAAAUACUCAAAGUCUGCUACAGCAGGCCAUGCAGCCCAUGGUCCCCAGACCUUCCGCACUGGGACGUGGGGAUAAGUCUGGCUGCAGACAGGG